AGGCGGGCGCCCGCGGCCGGUGGGGCCGGAGCGGAGGCCCGCGGGCGUGAAGAUGUAGGGAAUAAUUCAGGCUGGAGCUCCUCAGUUCAGAAAGAGAGAAGACCAAUGGCUGUACUCAGGCUCCAUCUGAUCUCUGCAUGCUGUCCUGUGGAUACCAGCUCUUGUACCUUGUGGUUUCAUGGUUUGAUUAUGGGGCAAAUGAACAUGCAUGAAGCUUGUUUCCAUGUAACGACACUCCCAUGAUGUACCAGUGGUGGGUCCAGAUGGAAGUGGCUACACCCUCUCCUUGUAGAGGCCAGCCCUGAAGACUCCCGCACUGCUAACAGCUUGCCAUAAAAUCCAGAAGGGAAGUAUGCAUCACCAAGUGCACAAGUCACUGUAGAUCACCUUCAGACCACCCUAGGCACAGCAAAAGACUCAGCUAUGUAUGGUCCAACACAUAGAUGGUUGACCUCUGUGCAUAUGGUUUCCACUGUCCUUUCCCAGCAUGCAAGUCUCCAUUUAAUACAAAUUUCUCCCUUGAAGAACAACAACAAGAAGAGGAAGAACUAAUGGACGAACUGUGGUGCAAAGAAGGUGAUAUGUGGUUUAGAAUAGUAGAAUUACAGUUUCCAGGACUCCUCUUUGAACUAAUCCUUCAGUUCAUAGCUAUGUGCCAAUUAUUCAGCACAGCCAAUUAGAGAAGUUGGUAGUCUCACAGAGCUUUGGGCAUGUAAAAAUCACAUGUCUGAGUCUAGUCCAGUCACCAGAGACGCCCUUUACAGUUAGGAGGUUAAAACAGGCUCUUGCAGCUGUUUAUUCAUCUGACCUGCAAGUACCUAUCUUCGGCUGAGAUGAGUCAUCCUAUGCAAAAUCUGAUUUCUUUCCACUGGAUAUAAAGUCGGUAACUAGAUUAAACGUAAGCAUCUAUCUUGUACAUAACAACACUUAUACAAAUGAAUUCAAACAGAUUUCAGUAGUGUAUGACAAUACAGUCCUGAGGAGUUUCUCAUUAUAUAACAGAUGAAGGAACAGAAAAAUAAGUCUUCCAAAAAGUGCACAUGAUUUGCAUGACAAAAUGUAUUCUACUUCAGGCAUACAGCAGCAGAAAGAGAGAACAUGCUCAAAAUAAAAUGACAGAAUUUAUUUGAGGAAAAAAAAAAGAUGAGAGACGCAUGCAUAUAGUUUAUCUAAGAUGUAAGUAAAUGUACAGAUGCACAAAGAAAAUACUAUAUCCAAAUGAGAAUAAAAUUGUUUAGAGGAUGCAAAGGAUAUAAACUAGAAAUAAGGAGAUUAUAUUGCACACAGGAAAAUGUAUAUUGAAUAUAACAAGUUACUUUUACCAUUUCAUUUAGCAAGUGAACAUUAAUGAGAAUUAGAAAGCGAAGAAAGGGAAGCUUGUAGGUAUGGAUAAAAGCUGGUAAUACACAUAGUUCUGCUUUUCUGUGGAUCUGUUUUCCUUUCUGGGGGGAUUUGGUGGGGUUUCUUUAGUUAAUUGGUUGGUUGGUUUGGGGGUUGGUGGGUUUUUUGCAGGGUUUGUUGGGUGGAGUUUUUUUCAGUGCAUUCAUAGAUUUUUGUCCGGUUUUGGUCUAAGUUCUGUUCAGAGAAUGUUUAUCUGUAAUUGAUUAAUUAGCAGCUGGAUUUAGUUAACUUUUCCUCUUUAAGAAGGAUACAAUGGAGACAACUCUCUGAUCUCAAAUAUUGUACUGAUCAGGUACACAAAGCCCAAAUCCAGACAAUGAGAUAAAAUUAUGUGUUAUUAAUCCAUUGAUCUGUUGCAAUUUUGCAAAACCAGAAAUGAGACAAAUUCAGCAAAAUAUUUAAUAUAAGCCUAAUUAUACAUUUACAAUGUAUAGCUCUAGAGAAUUUAGCCUGUUCCCACUUACUCAUCAUAACUAUAGAGGUAUAAAUGGAAAAUUCCAGACUAAUCACUCACAGAUGGUAUUUCUCUGGCAAUCUUAAAAUGCAAUAUAUAAAACUAGAGGACAUCCAAAACAUCAACAAACUGGAAAAAGAAGAAAAUUCUCCAAUAAACAAAUUUCAAGAUACUUGACCAUAUUAAAAGGUCAGAAAGAGCUCAACCAGCUCUCCAAACCUUAGUCAAGUAUUAUGACAAUUUUGUUCAAAAUGUAAUGUGACAUGGGGAAAAGUAUGACACCAUACAGCAUCUUUAUAAUUUCAUAUACUUUUAAGCAUCCAGUUAUAUAAUUGUAUAUUAAAAACACAUUUGAAGUGUAUAAUACUAGCAACCUUACAGUUUAAGAAAAAUGCUACAUGCUAAAUAUAGGAUUAGAAGUUAUUACCCUCCAGGACCUUUGAAGAGAGAAACUUUGAAAUAUUAAAAGAACCUAAAUACCUCCACUUUCUUUGUACAAAACUACUUUAGGCAGAACAUUUCAGUAGGAACCUUAAGAAGCCCCUAUGUAUCUAAUUUAGGAUUAAAUACAGGUGUUAUCACCAGUAUGGGACAAAGCAAAAAAACAUGAAAAAUAUUUUCUUUCAAUAAUGUGUAUUCUAGUUCAGCAGAUGAAAUGAAGUAAUAUUCAUCCCAUUCAUAAAGAUUUGUCUGUUUUUAAAGAUGUCAUAGAAUCAAUACUUCACAUAUGUUUCAGUCUUACUGGAUCAUAGCACAAACAUUUUCUUGAAAAAUCACUAACUGAUGAAAAAGAAGAUGUUUACAAGACAAAAGAUAAUUUCAAAAUCACAUUAGAAAUUUAUUAGCUGCAAAUCAUGGCACAAUGCUUUAAAUUAUUUAACAAUUUAUUUGAUCAAAACUGAGCAUAUCUGAAUGUAAUAUUUUAAUGCAUAAUAGGAGACAGAUUUUGAGUUGAGAAGGAUAAAGAACUGUAAUGGCUUUUUCAAUCAUUUUUUUUCAAAGUUUUCCAUGAAAAGGCAUGAAAAUUAGCAGUUUUUCAUUUAGAUAAGAGUACUUUGACCCCUAAAAUAUCCACAAUGAACAUAAGAUUUAGAAAAAACAAUAUGAACCCAAAUAGUAAAACCUUCAAAAAAGUUUUAAAACUUUCAAAACUUACCCUUUCUCCUUGCUUCUUAAUGUUAGCAAAGGCAUUUAAUGCUCCCAGUGGUUUCUUUUUUGGAGAAUUUGCCAGAAUUUGGUUGUACUCCUCAUAGGUCUCUUAGAUACAUGCAUAAUAAAUGCAGAAGGUAAGGAAAAUUAAAAGAAAAUUUAAAGAGUAGACAAACACUUAGCAAGUUUGUGGGGGAAAAAAAUGUUUCCAGUGCCUAACCAGCUCCAGUAAGAGUAAAUAAAGUAAUAAGAAUGAAAAUGUUAGAAGCUCAGCAAAUGUUGUCAAAUCUGCUCAUAGUGAUGGAGUUCAUUUGCCGUUUGUGUCAGAGCAAAUGGAUUUGCAUUAUUUCAGGAGCUGGGCUGUAUUAGUAUCAACUAUUGUAAAGCUCAGUUCACCCAUGGAGCAAAUGGAUGAUGAUUCAUUCUUUUCCUAAAUAGAGUAUUAAGUUCAGUCUCAUCUUGCAAUUAUUUAAUUUUCCAAAUAAGAAAUUUCAAAGCUCUAGGAUCUAACUCCAUGAUUAUAUAAUUUCUUUCAGAGCAGAUGAAAUUUAAGGAUAGACUAUACCAUGGUUACCUAUGUUUAAGCACUGUCCCAGUUCAGGCAGUAUCAUACUAAUUUUAUUUAAUGACUGAACAGCAAUAUAGCUUUCUGAUCUUAAUUUUAUUGGAUUUUGUUCUAUUAUUUUAAACCUUGACAUCUCAAGGGUGAGUCAACCUUACAGAUUUACCAAAAAAACCAAAAAGCAAUAAUUAGUAUGCAUUUCUAUAAAUUUAGUGCAUCAUACACAGAUGGAAAAUCAGAAGCUGUUAAAAUAAAAACUUGUGAGUAACUUCACACAAUAAUACUUCCCAAACUACAUAAAUGUCAGCUACCCAAGAAUUCCUCAAAUAUAAUUACAUUUUUAAAAUUAUUUUUAAAAUACAUAUCCUAUAAAUUUGAAGGGAUUUAUUAAAAAUAUUUUUAAUUACUUAUGCAAAAUUCUAUUCCCUAAGAAGGGAAAACCACCUGCGUUAUUUGUGCAGAUGUAAUUGUGGCCAAAGAAGAGUAGGGUGAGAAGAUGUGAGAGGAACAGCUUUGCAGACACGAAGAUCAGAGAAAGAGGGGUAGAAAACGCUCCAGGCACUGGAGCUGAGGUUCCCAUGCAGCCCAUGGUGCAGACCAGGAUGAGGCUACUGUGCCCCUGCAGCCCAUGAAGGGUCAUGGAGGAACAAAGAGCCAUCUGCAGCCCAUGGAGGAACUCCUGUUGGAGCAGGUGAAUCCCUGAAGGAAGGCUGUGACCUUGUGGGAAGCCCACUCUGGAACAGGCUCCUGGUGGGACUGGAGAGAGGAGCCCACACUGGAGCAGGUUUGCUGGCAGGAUUUGUGGCUUCAUGGGGACCUGCAGUGGAGCAGUUUGUGACAAACUAGCUCACAGGAAGCACUCAUGUCCCCACGUGGAGGAACUGCCUCCCCUGGCAAGGACACCAUGAUGGAGCAGGAGAAGAACUCCUCUCCCUAAAAGAGAAGGAGUGGUAGGAACAAUGUGAUGAGCUAGCUAUAAUCUCCCAUUCCCUGUCUCCCUGCACUGCUCAAGGGCAGGAAAUAGAGAAUAAGGAAUAAAGUUAAGCCCAGGAAGGAGGGAGAGGUGGGG